UGCAGUCGAGCGGUAACAGGGGGAGCUUGCUCCCUGCGUGACGAGCGGCGGACGGGUGAGUAAUGCAUAGGAAACUGCCCAGUAGUGGGGGAUAGCCCGGGGAAACCCGGAUUAAUACCGCAUACGCCCUUUGGGGGAAAGCAGGGGAUCUUCGGACCUUGCGCUAUUGGAUGUGCCUAUGUCGGAUUAGCUAGUUGGUGGGGUAAGAGCCUACCAAGGCGACGAUCCGUAGCUGGUCUGAGAGGAUGAUCAGCCACAUCGGGACUGAGACACGGCCCGAACUCCUACGGGAGGCAGCAGUGGGGAAUAUUGGACAAUGGGGGCAACCCUGAUCCAGCCAUGCCGCGUGUGUGAAGAAGGCUUUCGGGUUGUAAAGCACUUUCAGUGAGGAGGAAAACCUUGCGAUUAAUACUCGUAAGGCUUGACGUUACUCACAGAAGAAGCACCGGCUAACUCCGUGCCAGCAGCCGCGGUAAUACGGAGGGUGCAAGCGUUAAUCGGAAUUACUGGGCGUAAAGCGCGCGUAGGUGGGUUUGAUAAGCGAGAUGUGAAAGCCCCGGGCUCAACCUGGGAAC
rnacentral:rRNA from 1 species